rnacentral:lncRNA from 1 species
CCGAUAGCAAAUUUCAAAAAAGCUUUCAUUUCUGUUAUCCUUAUCUCUUCAAAUCUUCUAUGGAGACUCUUCAAGCUGGGUGUCUCGGCCAUUUCUCCUCUUGUUCACAUUGAAUAUGGGUGAAAACUGCUCCCUUUAGGUACUUUUCUUCUCCUUUUCUUAAUUCUUCUUUUGCAAGUUCGUGGGCAUAAAUAUUCCCUGAUCUUUGAACAAUUUGGAAGUUGAUUUCUUGGAAAUGUUGUUUUUCACUUUGAAUGUCUCGAAUAAUCGCCCUUAUAACUGAUUUAUCUGUCGCUGCUGAGUUGUAUUUUUUUAUGACCGCUUUUGAAUCUCCUAUGAUAUCUACUGAUUGAAAACCCAUUGAAAUCCCUAACUUUACUGCUUGUAACCCUGCAUGUGGCUCUGCCAUGAACGGAGACGGUAUUGUGGAAUGGAGGACUGUCUUUGAGGCUAAAAACUCACAUCUCCCUCCACACCACCAAACCUGAGGCUUAUUUGGAGUAUUUACCGUCAAAAGCUGCAUCAAAAUAAAUUGCUACUCUCGCAUUUCUUUCUUCCUGUCUCUAUCUUCUACUAUCGUUUGAGGUAAGUGGCUUUUUUUCCACCCCAUCGAUCUCUACUAUAUAACUUUGGAUUCGGUUCGAUAAAUCUCUUCCUGUUAUUAUUUUCCCCUCGUGAACUAACUGGUUUCUUGAACUCCAUAUUGUCUAAACAGCAGAGCAAAAAAGUCGACAUUGUUUGCUGUUACCCAUGGUGAAGACCCAAGUAAGCCAUUUCCACAAAUCUUGAAUAUUAGUAUUAAUGACCCAUGAUAGAUUUAUGUUUUACCAUGUCUCUGUUGUUGUAGGGCAUUGUAUGAAAACAUGGUUGCUAUCUUCUUCUGCAUUUCGACACCGAGGACAGGAAAUAUCUACAGCCACUCUUUUGAAUCUUAGAUUUGUUAAAGUAGGAAUAAAGUUCUAGGAAAUACGUCAUAUAGUGAUAGCAAUUUUUUAUGGGAGAUGUAAAGUAAAAUUUUUUUGUUUCGGCCUGUAUAAAAUAAGCACUAGGAUCCAUAAUAACCUCUUGUAAUAGUUUGUAGGCACUUCUGACUGAAAAUUCGCAAGAAUGUUCUCCUCGCCAAACUUGGAAAUCAUCAUGUUCUUCUUCUGCCGGAGGAAUUUGCAAAAUCUUCUGUGUUGUAUCCGCUUGAAAGGUAUUAACUCUUAGAUCUAUCUUUCAUUUUCUUGUUGAAGCAUCAAUUAAAUCUAAAACUAACUCUACUUCUGCAUUGUUAGAAUUGUCAUUGAUUCUCUCUGUCAACUCUCGGUACCCACCGGUCGUUCCAAACAGAUACAUGAUCUCCCCUACCGACUUGCCAACAUAAGCUAUCUUUCAGUAACCCUUUUGCUGCCCAAACGCUCUUUCAGGUAAGAAAAGGUAAAUUCCCUAACUGUGCAUUAAUAAAGUUUGAAUUUGGGUAGUAUUUGGCUUUUAAGUCCUUUGCUAAUAAAGAAUUUUGAAAAUUAAUAAGGCGCCAACCUUGCUUGGCUAAUAAAGCGAUAUUAAAUUGACCAAGAGUUUGAAACCCCAAACCACCAUUUUUUUUGUGGUACAAAGAUCCUUCCAAGCUUACCAACGAAUGCCCCUUUUGCCACGAUCUUUUUGCCACUAGAAUUUUGCAGUAAUACUCUUAAGAUCAACACAUAAAUAUUUAGGUAGUAAAAAAUAGGCCAUCGUAUACAUCGGAAUAGCUUAAAGAAUGGCCUUAAUAAAAACUUCUUUCCCAUAUUGAAUGGCCUUAAUAAAAACUUCUUUCCCAUAUUGAAUGAGAUGCUGAAUACUCUAGUUUUCAUUUCGUUGCUUAAAUCUAUCCUUUAAGUUUUGAACAAGCUCUUUCUUCUUUCUGCCCACCAUAUUAGGUAAUCCAAGAUAACAUUCUGGAUCAUUUGAGCUUCGUACUCCUAAUGUGCGAGUAACUAAUCCUCUUUCUUCCUCUUGUGUAUUAGUGUUAAAGAAAAUAGUUAACUUCUCAAAAUUGACGCACUAACCUGAAUAGGUUCCAUACUCGCGUAGAAUUGUUUUCAAUAAACAAGCUCUCCUUUCAGUAGCAUCUCCAAGUAAAAUGCAAUCAUCAGCGAAUAACAAUAUAAUACUUGUGGCCCUUUUUACUAGCUUUAACCUUUUUUAAUUGUCCUUCUUGAAUUGCCAAUCUCAUAAGACAAGAUAAGCCUUCUCCAUAGAUCAGAAAUAAAUACGGGCUCAAAGGAUCACCUUGUCGUAAUCCUCUCGUUGGUUGAAAACUUUCCCCAGCUUAACCAUUAAGUACCACUGAAUAAGAAACAGUAGAUACGCACUUCAUAAUACAAGCAAUCUAGCUAGGGUCAAAACCCAUUCUCAUUAUCAUCUCCUAUAUAAAAUUUCAUUCAACUCUAUCGUACGCUUUACUCAUGUCGAGUUUAACUGCUAUCAACCUCUUUUUUCUAAAUUUUUUUCGUUUUAGAGUGUGUAAAAUUUCAUAUGCCAAUGAUACAUUAUCCGAGAUUAACCUUCCUAGCACAAAAGCACUCUGUGUGCCAUCGAUGCAUUUUUCCAAGACUUCUCUAAGUCAAUUAGUAAUAGCCUUUGCCAUUAUUUUAAAAAUGACAUUGCAUAAGCUAAUAGGACAAAAAUAAGUGAGAUAGGUCGAAUUUGCUCUUUUAAGAAUAAGCACAAUAUGAGUAGUAUUAAUUGGACUAAGCUUCGUACCUCCAUUUAGAUGUUGAAGACAGAGAAGUGUGACCUCUUCCCCAAUGAUAUACCAGCAUUUCUGAAAAAAUAAGGUCGGAAACCCAUGUGCUUUUGUAAGCCCCAUUCUAGUAAGCACUUCCCAAACCUCUUCCUUUGUAUAUUGCACCGUGAGUCUUUGAUUAUCCUCUUCAGAUAUACAACGUUCAAUACCCGAUAAGAGAUGUUCAUAAUGUCCCUUUUCCCUAGCUUCAAAUAAAUUUUGGAAAUAAGAUUUAGCAAUUUCUGCCAUUUCUUGUAUAUCCUCCGUUUCCCUUCCCGUCAUAUUCUAUAAUUUUCAAAUACAAUUUUUCCUUUGUCUUUGUGUUGCUUGACUAUGGAAAAAGGUUGUAUUCCUAUCCCAAAAUUUCAGCUAAUUAACUCGAGCUCUUUUCUCCCAAUAUCUUUCAUCAUUCUCAAUCUCAAAAUUCAAUUGCAAUUUUGUAUCAAUCAGCUUUGCUAAAUUAUUAUCACUCAUUUUGGAUUCCAUCACCUCAGACAGCUUUGAGGAUAAAAAUUCUUUUUUCCGUUUUCUAGACUGACAAAUGCGUACAGCCCCUCUCUCUUAGCCUUUUUUUAGACAAUCCAGCUUUUGUAGUAAACCUUCUGAUGUCGUUUCCCAAAUGAGUUUUAUUUUAGCAUCGAAUAACUCCUCCAAGACCCACCAUGUCUCGAAUUUAAAUGUUUUCCAACUCCUAUUGUCUUCUGUUUUCGUGAUAAUUAGAAGAGGACAAUGGUCAGAGAACGAGUGCACCAGAUGUUAAAUGGUAGCUUCAGGGAAUAUAGACAUUCAAUUCUCGUUAGCCACACCUCUGUCCAAAUGCUCUUGGAUAUUUGUUUCAGGAAAAUUUCCUCUCUCCCAAGUAAACCAAUUACCAGAAUAACCCACAUCCGUCAGAUGACAAUCUUCUAGAACAUUUCGAAAUACUUCUAUUCUUCUUUUGUCUCUAGGCAACCCUCCUUUCUUUUCAAAGCUAUACAUAAUUUCAUUAAAAUCUCUACAAACAAUCCAAGGGAAUUCCUUAUUGCUAUAUAGAUUUUUUAAUAGAUUCCAUGAUUCAUCCCUAUCUUGUGUGUAACGGGAACUAUAAAAUCUUGUAUAUCUCUAUUUUUUCCAUCGUCAGUAUCUUCAAUAAGCACGUCAAUGUGCCUUUUUGAAAAAUUUUGAAGUGUGAUGGUAGCGUCACCUCUUCAAGCCAAACAUAAACCUCCUCUAGAUCCAUCGGGGUCCACAUCAAUGCCAUUACCAAGGCUAUAGCUUCUUCGCACUCGUUCUAUUUGAAUUAUGUUUAUCUUUGUCUCCAUGAAGAAGACCAUCUAGGGAUUAUAUUUUUUCAACGUAUGCCAAAGCUUUCGAAUUGUUCGUGGGUUCCCCAAACCACGGACAUUCUAACUUAAAAUUUUUAUUGCGAUCGGUCAGUUUACUUUUUGGCAACCUCCGAUGAUAAAAAAGUAUUGUCCAACAUCCUCUUAUUUCUUGCUGUUACAGUAUUGCCUUCUUCUCUUAUUGUAGGGUAUUCACUUUCCCCCUAGGCAUUUUUUUCCUUCCUCUCCAAUUAGCACCCUUUCCUCCAAAUCAUGUUUCAUUACAGAGUGGGUCUGUUUGGCCAAUAAAUUUUCCCCCCAUUGUGAAAAAGAGGGUAAAUUAACUUCAAAUUGAACCUCAAGACAGGGUCGAUAGAUACUCUAGUUUUUGACUUAUUUCUAUUUCUUCAUGGCCUGUAUUCUAAGUUGUGUUCGCCAUAGAGAUUUCUACAUGUGUCGUCUUCUUCAUCUUCAAUUAACCAAUUACUCUUCAUUACCAAAGGCUUUUUGGGUUGCGCUCGUAAAGAGAAGUUCCAACCCAUCACCACAACUUCCACCUCUAACGUCAUUUUUGCCUCACAAAAAGAAUCACUAUGAUCCAGCUAACCACAAUAGAAACAAAAAAGAGUCAGCCCUUCAUAUUUUAAUAUGACUUAGGAACACUUCCCUGAGAACAUAACCUGCUUUUUCCUCUUUAAUGUGUAAUGGACAUCCAAUUGAACUCGAAUUCUCAUAAAAUUCGUAUUAGCUUUCCCUAGAUUUGAACUAUCAUGGGCCAAAAAUUUUCCUAAAAAUUCACCUAGUUGCAUUGCCAAACUUUCAGAAAAAUACCCUAUUGGAAUAUCAUGGAUCUGUACCCAAAAAGGCGAAAAGAUUAAAGGGAUUUUCAAUGGAUCCUCCCCCCAUUGUAGUAUGUAUAGAACCAAUAAAUGAUUAUUAAACGUUCAUGGAAAGCCCUUCAGAACUCUGUCGAUAUCCAUAGCAUGAAAAAAUUGAAACAAAAAUCAUCUUUCUCCUAGAUUACGGAUUUGAACGCCUCUAACUGGGUGCUAUAAGUUCGCCAUGGUGCUUUUCAUUGCUAGGAAAUGAAUAACACUAGCUAUUAAAAAGCAUCCCACCAGUCGAAAAGUACUUUCUUCCUUUUCCAAACCCGGCUCAAUUUGUGCUUGUAAAACUGUUUCUUCUUCUUCAUCAAACGUUAAUUCGGCAAAUUCAUUUUCCAUUAUUGCAUGCUAGAGAUUAAGCCCCAUUGUGUGCUAUCCUGAAAGAUGAGAAGAGAUUCUAAUAGACUGCUGUAACCAAAAUUUAACUUUGAACAAAAUAACCCAAAAAACUUAAGAACAUGUAAGAGAGGCAGAUGCAUGCGUGUUAGGGUAGCAGAAUUUUUAGUUAGCUCACUUUUAUUUUGGGUUUUUAGUUUUUAUUUAUUUACAUAAUAUGUUAUAAAGUUAUGUUUUGAAGAUUGUAAAAUCGUGAAAAAUGUGUUUUUUUCCUUAUUUUAACAUAUGAAGUGAUUGUUGUCUCUAAAGAUUUGUUUUACAUGAAGGCGCAAAGUAUAUUUUUAGUUUUAUUAACAUGGUUUUUGUGUGUUUUAAUGAGCUUGAAAUCUUGAUGCAAUGAGCUUACUACUGUCAUACAAGGUUUUUGUUAGCUUGAUCAUAUAUUGUAUAAAGUUUAUGUUAUUUUGGAAAAAAGUGUAGAUAAACCUAUGAUGAAUCUGAAGAUGAUUUUUCUUUUUCUUUUUCUUUUUUGAUGUUAUAAUGCGAAAUUGAUUAGUGCAUGUAAUAUUACAUUGCACCUGAUCAAUUGGUUAACAUGUUAUUAUUAUCAUUUUUAUGUGAAAUUAGAUUUUUAUAGGUUAUUUAAUCUUUUAAAGUGGCUAAAGAUCUUUAGAAUUUGAUUUGUGAGAUUUGGAAGUACCAAAUCUUGAAGAGACAACAUGAAAAAGAAAUUCAAACUUAGACAUUAGAUGCUAAUUCAAUUAAAAAUUAGGCAAAGAAAAGAAUAAGAAAGGAGAAACAAAUUGAAAUAACUUUUUCUUGGUGGGCAAUUUUUGGAUCUUAGAAACAUGAAAUUUUAACUAACAUUAGAAAAAGAUUCAUAGGAACAAAAUCAAGAUUGAAAAAAAAUUAGGUAGCGACUGAAAAGAUAGAUGUGAAGAUGAACAAAAGGCGAUGUAUGAUGGAAACUUUUGAAGAAAAACUUCAUCAAACUCCACUAAAGGUUCUAGCCAACCCUCUAAAAAAAGUCUUAGCAAACCGAAGUGUGAAAAACAACAACCUUGAUUCAUGAAAAGAAAUAGAGUUGCAAGUACUUCUAAAAAGAUACAAGAAAAAAAUCUUGCAAAAAGAGAACUCUAGAAGUUAUUAUUCAUAAAAGAAUGAAACUAAAUCAUGUACAUAGAGGGCGUGAAUUGCCUUUUAUAUGUGAAAACUAGGAUAAAUUGAGUCCUAAUCACACUCAAAUUACCUAAAUCUCCAAUAACAGGUAAAAACCCUACAUGAUUAUAACUUAACCUAAUAGGAGGAAAUUUGGCUAGCCUAUAUGUAUAGGCUAUUUGAACCAAAUUUUUAACUAGGAAAUAUCAAAUAACUUAAUAAAUAAAUUGCCUAUAAUGAGCCAAUUAACAAACAUGCCAAAAUAAAACUUAAUAAAAUAAACUAAGUCUUAAAAGAAUAAAACACUCAAAAUGGGUUGUUCUUCAUAGGCUCGACAUUGUGCGCUGAUUUGCACAAUAAUGCACAUAAACUAAGCUUGUUAACAUCCUCCAAAUGGGUUGGUCAUCAUGGAUUGCAUUCUUGAGCCCAAGAAUGGGUUUGUGGCCUUCUGAUUCACCCUCUUUGUUUAAGAUAGAUCAAAUUCUAUCAUUUUGAAACAUUAACUCGUUUUCUUGCAUACUUUUGGUCAUAAGGUCUUGAAUGAGCAUAUUAAGCUCAAACUUAAACUGUUUGGACUUGCAUAUCAUAAUUGAGCCUUGAGAAAAAUGAAGUCUAUCUUCAUCAUGGGCUUGAGAUUAGGCCUUGGAGCUCGUAUCAUUCUCCAUUCCUCAAAACGAUUCAUCCAUGAAUCUACAAUGUCCAAGGGAGAAAGAUUAGUCACAUUAUCUCAUGCUUAGUCCCUUUCUUAUCAAAAAGUCUGCAAAAUCUUAAUUCUUGAACUCACACUUGUGAUCAAUUUUAAUCCUCUUAAUCAUUCCAAUGACAUGGCCUUUAUCAUUCAUAAAGCCUCUACAAAGUUUUCUAAAUUCAUCAGAGGUGCUAGAUUUGUCUCUAAGGAAUCUUUCCCAAGAAAACUUGAAAAUCCAUCUACACAAAUAAGCACAUAACGUUUUUCACUUAUGCCGAAAAAUAGUGGUGUCAUUGUUUGAAUGUGAACCAAUUUUUUAUGCUUUUCCCUGUGUUGCUUGCCUUUUAAAGAGUUACCACACACUUAAAGAAUGGAGCCACUCAGCUUUAGAAUCCCUCUGAUAGAAUCAUAUCGAACUAGCCUUUAAAGUUUAUAAUAGUUUAUAUAGUCAAGCUUCUCGUGCCAUAACUUUGGUCUGAAACAUUAGCAUUAUUGCAUUUGAUAGAUUGAAUCACUCUAUAGUAGUUGUAAAAUGUGUGAGCCCUGUAAUGCCCUCAACUCGACCUGGUUCUCUAGGUCCGAAUCUCAAGUGGUACUACACACAAUACUUAACCAAAUAUCAAAUAGUUAACAAACAUUCCUUGCUUAAAACAUUUUACUUAUUAAUUUAAUUAAGAAACUUGAGCUCUAAGAAUAAGAGACAGUAUUAAAAAAUAAAAUUUUAAUCCAAACUUGUUACAACACAUUACAGUAUAAAGUUUGUGAAUGGCAGAAUCUUAAGGUGUAACGUUAAACUACACUACUUCUCCCUUGUAUGCAUAAUAUUCCAAUUUUCCACUAUUCUGGCGUACUCUUGGAAUUGUCCCUCCUAGCGUAUUCUCAUACCAUACCCAUGAAACAACAACAAACAUUGUAAGUUCAAAAGAACUUAGUGAGCUUUAUCAUAAUAAUACCUUAGCAGAUAGUUUAUAAGAUUGGAAGAACAUCAGUGUGCUAGUUACCCUUCUGAACCACUUACUUCCAUUUUAGGCAGAUACAAUUCUGGCAUACACUUCCACACCAACUAUCAUACUCUUGAUAUACCAGUUCUUUCUUAAUAGUCUAACUGAAGAUCCUUUUAGACAUUUCAUAAAUCGUACGCACUUCUCAAAAGAAUAUACCUUCAGAAUCAAAUUUAUAUAAAUCAUUUCUUAACACACAAACUUAUCCUAGAACAGUUGUUCAUAGAUAUUAAUCACUAGCAGAUACAUACACAUUUGGUGAAUACUUACGCAGAUCUGAAUACCAUCAAACUACUAAUCAAAUCAUACAUUGGUUCAAUACCAUACAAACUCUCACUGAUAAUGUACUACACAGAUAAUUCAGAUGAAUUCCACAUCACUUUAUUUAGGAACCUCAGAUACUCAAGAUAGCGAUAACUCAGAUUCAAUAUACUUUCAGAAGAAGAUAUUAUACAACUCAGACAUAAUAGAUUCCAAAUAACUCAGAUUCAACCAUUUCCUAACUCAGACAAACUUGAAUUGACAAUUUCUUAUGUCUUUCAUAACCAUGAAUACACCUAUUUUCAAAACAAACAAAUUGCCAGGGUGGAUAUCCUUUUUAACUUGCAGAUACACACUUCUUUUCAGAACUUCCUUAUCUAAUUCAACCAAAUUAACCUUAGAUAUUCCAUGACCUUAUCAUAGAAGUAUCUAUCACAGAACAAUCAGAAACUACCAAAAGGAUGGAUAAGCAUACCUUGCUAAACAGAUUUAGUAGAGUGCGUCAUAAGGGCCAAACAGAAUACGCCAUAAAGGCAUCAUACAGAUUCAUGUGUUUAUUAUCCCAGCGGACUUUCAUAGAAGGUGUCAUGGGUGUCUCCUUCAUUGACUUAUACAUAAGUUCAUGUAUCGUGAUAUACCCAUUCAAUUUACACAUCAUCGAAGGUUACACCAUGAACAUUCAUACAGAUAUAUCUUGCCAUGGGUCUUAACCACAUGGCUUUGCACACAUUCAUGUAUCGUGAUCUAUCAAUCUAGUCUUCAUUUUACUGGAGGCUACACCAUAAGUGUUUCCAAAUCAUAUCACGAUAUCAUGGGUAUCAACCUCAUGGUCUUACACUUGCUUUCAUAUCGUGAUCUACCAACUGGUUAGCAAUCUAACUGUCCUACCAGACACUUCAGAAAGGGACAUUUCCCAUAAUUUAAUUACCUAGAUUUAUUUGCAUUCUAGAUUGUCUCAUACAUUUCAUAUCUUAAAUUUUACUUGCAUACUUAUCAAUCAACAUUCACCUUCAAUAAAACUUAUUAUAUAUCAUCAUAGCACUUAUUUCCUCUUAACUAUACUCGUACACUUACCUCUUAUUAUAAAUGCCAUCAUCUUAUAUACAUAUAUAUAUACAUUUUCUUAUACUUGAAAAGUUUAUAUAAGAAAGGGUGAUACCAUCUUAAAUUUGCACGAUUUUUUGUCUUUAAAUCGAUUAAUUAUUGAAUUAAUCCCUGCUAAAUUAGUGAUUUUAUAUUUUAAUUCUGUCAGGAAUGCAAUUGGGAUGCUAUGAGUCAAAAACAAGCAGAAAAUGACCAAUUUGCAGCACAGUCAAUAAAGUGAGGCCAAAUCAGGAACUUGGAAAUAAUCAAGGACUUAUCAAAUUUCUUUUGACCUUCUAAAAGCUAAAAUUAGAAGAAAAUCUUAUUUUAUUUUUAUUUAAUUCUAAUUUUUUGUAGUGGGUAGUUAGGCCAAAUUUAGUAAAUUAUUUGUAUAUAAAUAGGGCAUUUGUGGUAGCUUGAAAACACACUUGAAUUUACUUAAACAAUUAAAUUAAAUUAUUUUUCCCUUCCAAUUUUAUACGUGUAGCAUACUGCCAUUUCAUUUCCAUUUGCUUGUUUCUUUAGUUUAAUUGCUUUCCAAAUCCCUUCCUUUUCUAACUUUCACCAAUUUUCAUUCAAAUCCACUCCAUAUCUAAUCAAAGCGUGAUUAAUUUCAUGCUUCAUUAAAUUCUAACUUAGCUUUAGGCCGGUAUUCUUUCCGUUCAAAAAUUGUGAGAUACGUAUUUGUACUAAAAAUCCUUCCAAUCGGUAUUCACUAUUUCUUCUAAAUAUCAGGAUUGAGAAAUUCAUCCCUUAAAGUUAAUUCGAUUUCUAAUCAAAAAGUGCGUUGGGUUGGAGUCGUAUUUACAAACAGUUGGAGAAACAAGUCGUCCGUGCUGUAUUUAGAUCUCCGAGAACAAAUCAAAUGAGAUAGUGAUCAGGUUUAAAUGUCUCGCGUGGUUGAGGCCAUUAAUCCAAGUUGGGUUCUUUAGAGCGCAAGGUUACCGGAAUCUUGAAUGGGGAACGCGUAUAUCUCGGUUAGAUAAUCGGUAAAGGUUGGUUUGCAGGUUGUACCGGGACCAACUACGAGAGGAAAAAUUGGUGGUUAAAACAUUUUUAGUCGCUAUAACCAGCUUAUUGUUUAGGGAAGAAGACUAAUUUUCGAGGAUCGGUUCAAAGAUCGGAAUUCACCAAGUUUAAGGCUAAGGCUUACUUUUUCUGUUGUCAAAACUCAAAUUCAUUUUCUAAUUUAAUUUUACUUUUGAUCUCUUUAAUUGCUUACUUCUAUUAUCUUAAUUAUUUAAUUUCUAGACAUUUCCAACUCUCUAAUUUAUUUUUAAAAAAAGAUCGUUUGAAUUGAGUAACCGGGUUAAGGUGUUUGGGUUGUCAUCCUAGUUCGCGUAAAAAGGUUUGACUACUUCCAAAAUAAAAUAAAAAUAUUAUUAUUGCAUGAUUAAUUGAAAAUAAUACCUUGCAAAUUUUGGUUCAAACUCAAUUUAGUGAAAUGAUUUA